UGGGGAAUAUUGGACAAUGGGCGCAAGCCUGAUCCAGCCAUGCCGCGUGAGUGAUGAAGGCCUUAGGGUUGUAAAGCUCUUUCGACGGGGACGAUAAUGACGGUACCCGUAGAACGAAGCCCCGGUCUAACUUCGUGCCAGCAGCCGCGGUAAGUACGAAGGGGGCUAGCGUUGCUCGGAAUCACUGGGCGUAAAGGGCGCGUAGGCGGACGUUUAAGUCAGAGGUGAAAGCCCAGGGCUCAACCCUGGAAUGGCCUUUGAUACUGGACGUCUUGAGUCUGGUAGAGGUUGGUGGAACUGCGAGUGUAGAGGUGAAAUUCGUAGAUAUUCGCAAGAACACCGGUGGCGAAGGCGGCCAACUGGACCAGAACUGACGCUGAGGCGCGAAAGCGUGGGGAGCAAACAGGAUUAGAUACCCUGGUAGUCCACGCCGUAAACGAUGGAUGCUAGCCGUUGGCCGGUUUACCGGUCAGUGGCGCAGCUAACGCGUUAAGCAUCCCGCCUGGGGAGUACGGCCGCAAGGUUAAAACUUAAAGGAAUUGACGGGGUC
rnacentral:rRNA from 1 species